CUCACACUCCCCAAACUCCACGCCCCCCCUCUAUUCACAAGGUUACAAAAUUCUCUCUGGGCCCUCCCUUCCCCUCUUCACACGAAACCUAAGGUGCUCAUUUCUGUCCCUUUCUGUAAUUCAGGAAGUUCUCUUUGUCCGAUCUGUGUCUGCAUGUUUCUGUUGAGAUUGAUUGUUUAUUGGAAGCUGCCUAAUAAAUUGGUUAACUCAUCCUCUUUAUACUCAGCCCCCACCACUGCUCUCAACACAGUUCAUAAAAGUUCUCUGGGCACCUCCUCACCAGUCUUCUUCACAUCAAGUGUCGGCAUAAAACUGAUCAGCUAAGAGUAUGGGAAGCAAAGCACCAAGGUGGGCUGAUCAAUGGGGCACAAGGGAGGAUUACGAUGGCAAGCUGAGUAGCCAGGUAGGGCACGGCAGCAGCAGCAAGAUGGAUGGUGUCAAGUCUGCGGCUUCUGCGGGACUCUUCAAGGCCAAGGCUGCUGCAGUUGUUGGUGCCCAAAAGGCAACGACGAAGCCCAAGAUGAUGAAGAAGUUGGUCCAACCUAUAUAGACUUAUAGAGGCUGCUGAGUUAAGAAAUUAAACAAGAGAGCUCAAGGCCUAACUCUACUUCCAAGAAACGUGUUAAAGCCCAAGCUCUUUUUUUUUUUUUUUAUGGUAAUGUAAUCAAACAUACAAGAGGGGAGAUGGGGUGUCCUAUACAAAACUUCCAUUACAGUGACUGCAUGCAAUCUUAGGAGGAAGAGGGCUGAAAUUAAAUAUAAAUAAAUAAGCAAUAAACCGAAGGUUCAGGCCCAUGUUACCUAGCUAAGCCGAGGAAGGAACCAUUACAAUCGAUUACUUUGAUCCAACAAGUGAAUCGAGUUGUUGUGACUUCAAGAGAACACUAAGGCAUGCAUUUAUUUGUUGA